AUGAGAGUCCGUGCCGCGGCCCCUCCGUGCUUCCAGCCUCCGGAGCUGAGUAAGUGGAGUGGGGGCGGGGCUGCAGGGGCAGGGAGGCUUCCAGAGCCAGGUCGGGGCUGCGCAGGGCUGCGGUGGCGGCGCCUCAACCCGGCCCUUGCUGCGGUGCUGAGUGGGGCCUGCACCUGCGCUUCCCCCAUCCUGCCCUCCCAGGACCAACCUCACCCACAUGCCAGGUUCCAGAAGUCCUUGGGCUCGAAGCAGGCAGGGGUGGAGGGAGAAGGAGGGAAGAGGAGCAAGCAGCUGUGGCCCGCGCCGUGUGCGUGUGUGUGUCUACGCGGGAAUUGCACAGUAGCCCGGAGGGUGGGACUACUCCCACUUAAUGAGGGAUCAAGCUCCCGGGGGGUAGUGCUCCUUGCCCGAGGUCACAACCGGGACUCACACCUACAACUGUCUGUUGAAUGGACCCGGAGGUGGAUGCCAGAGGCCAAGAGGGCUCGCGGGGCUGAAGGUGGAGGGCGUGUCAAGCAGUCAGCAGGCCCAGGACGGGUCUUUAGGGGCAAACUCUUCCUGACACCCUUCCCAGUGGCUGCAGGUCGUCCCGUACCCACGGCUGGUGGCGGCGGGGCAGGUGGGGGGUGGAUGGGGCAGUUUGACGAAGAUGAGGCAGGAGAGGGUGAGAGAGGUCUCUGCCUCUGGCUUCCAGCAGCCCUCUGCCCCACUCACCCCUGCGCCCAAAGCAGUCCCAGCUCCCUGGUGGGUGGGGCACCUAGGAGGCCCUUGCACGUGGCUGGGGGUGUGGUUAAAGGGAGAUGAGGGAUCCCUGCUGGUGGCGCAGCGGUUUGGCGCCUGCCUUUGGCCCAGGGCGCGAUCCUGGGGACCCGGGAUCGAAUCACAUGUCUGGGCUCCCAGUGCAUGGAGCCUGCUUCUCCACUCAUGCCUGUGUCUCUGCCUCUCUCUCUCACUGGUGUGCCUAUCAUAAAAUAAAAAAAUUGAAAAAAAAAAAAAAAAAAAAAAA
rnacentral:lncRNA from 12 species